AACGGCGCCACUUUGCAAAAUGAAUGUGAUUUCUUUCUCACUCCGACUUAUCUUUCAUUGAUCCAUGAGCGAAGGACUGGAAUUUGGUUCAAAGACAACCAUUACAGGCUUGAUUCAAUGGAAGGAAUUAAUAUUGUAUUAUAUUUAUAUGAUAUGUUCUAUGAUGUUCAACCUAUGUCACAAUCAACCGUAAUUUCCUUGAUUAAGAUGAGUGUAAAGGUUCACGAUAAAAAGACAUGGAUCAUUCAAAUAAUUAAAGUUUGUCAGCAGCAACAACCGGGACAUUAUCAAAAAUCAAACGUAAUUGAGUGAUGUCUCAUAAUGUUUGGUUGUGUACUUCCCAUGACAAUACUUCACCUGACUAUGAAUGGUUACUGCCAUCAUGGUGGAAGAAGAAGGUCGAAUGAAGUCUUGCAGGGUUUAUAAUGUAACAAUUACAUGUUUUUAAAUUAUG